UGCCAAGGACCGUGUACCGAAGGCCGUCAGAUAUAUGCAAGAGCGCGAGCUGGACGAUGGCGAUGCACAUUGGCCCUGCUGGUGAUCAUGGAUACUAGCUGCGCCAUGAGUGCAUGAUGACUCCAAUAGUUUAAUUAAUCCGUGUAGCAUUCUGUAUUAGGUUAUGGGAUGGAAAUGGCAGACGGUGUUGCCGUUUUGCAGGUACCCAUGGACGACGAUCGACGACCCCUAUAUUGUAAAGUUAGCAACCAGAAACGAGAAGCCGACGUGCGAGCUAACUGCUGAAAUGAUCCGCGACCUACCGCUCUGCUUGCACGGUUGGUACAUAAUACUCUACUCCUACAUAGGAUGGGCAAACUGUCAGGUUGAGUUGGCCACUUGGCCUGCCUGCUUACGUAGCUCGACAAAGUGAACAGUUAGCCAGCCAGCCAGCCAGCCAACGGGCUACAGCCCACCGAUCGGUGAGGGCGUGAGGCGUGUACAUUUCUGCGUUCCUGUUCCGUAUGACGCCAUCGAACGCGAGACAUAUCGAUGAAUUUUGCAGCGGUGUCUGGGUCACAUCUGGGUGGAUAGGAUGAACUCCUGCUUGCACGAGCACACCAGUGACCAGCCGCGGCGUACGUCAGGGACCAGUUGACUUGGCGCCAAAGAAAACUAGGGGCGAACAGCAGAAGUCGUGUGCUACGUACAAUUCUAUCUGGGCUCCAGAUACAAAAUACUGUGCUGUUUGUUAUAUAUAGUUGUCACUUGGCUGGCACACACAUCCGAAUUGAAUAUCGAAUUCAUUGGCAGGGUAGGCCUUGUUUAGUUCCCAGAAAAUUUUGCAAAAUUCUUCACAUUCUCCGUCACAUCGAAUCUUUAGACGCAUGC
rnacentral:lncRNA from 1 species